UACGUAGGGGGCAAGCGUUGUCCGGAAUUAUUGGGCGUAAAGAGCGCGUAGGCGGUCCGGUAAGUCGGCUGUGAAAGUCAAGGGCUCAACCCUUGAAAGCCGGCCGAUACUGUCGGACUAGAGUCCGGAAGAGGCGAGUGGAAUUCCCGGUGUAGCGGUGGAAUGCGCAGAUAUCAGGAAGAACACCCGUGGCGAAGGCGGCUCUCUGGGACGGUACUGUCGCUGAGACGCGAAAGCGUGGGGAGCGAACAGG
rnacentral:rRNA from 1 species